CCUACGGGAGGCAGCAGUAGGGAAUAUUGCUCAAUGGGCGAAACCCUGAAGCAGCAACGCCGCGUGGAGGAUGAAGGUGUUAGGAUUGUAAACUCCCUUUGUUAGAGAAGAUUAUGACGGUAUAUCACGAAUAAGCACAGGCUAACUCCGUGCCAGCAGCCGCGGUAAUACGGAGGGUGCAAGCGUUACUCGGAAUCACUGGGCGUAAAGAGUGAGUAGGCGGGGUAAUACGUCGGAUGUGAAAUCCUUUGGCUUAACUACAGACCUGCAGUUGAAACUGUUACUCUGGAGUGUGGGAGAGGUAGGUGGAAUUCUUGGUGUAGGGGUAAAAAGCGUAGAGAUCAAGAGGAAUACUGAUUGCGAAGGCGACCUGCUGGAACCUUACUGACGCUGAUGCACGAAAGCGUGGGGAGCAAACAGGAUUAGAUACCCGGGUAGUC
rnacentral:rRNA from 1 species